rnacentral:rRNA from 2 species
CGCGAAUGGCUCAUUACAACAGCUAUAAUUUACUUGAUCUUGACAACCUACUUGGAUAACUGUGGUAAUUCUAGAGCUAAUACAUGCACCAAAGCUCCGACCGUAAGGGAAGAGCGCAUUUAUUAGAACAAAACCAAGCGGCUUCGGCCGUCCAAUGUUGACUCAGAAUAACUAAGCUGAUCGCAUGGUCUUGUACCGGCGACGUGUCUUUCAAGUAUCUGCCUUAUCAACUUUCGAUGGUAGUGUAUCUGACUACCAUGGUGAUGACGGGUAACGGAGGAUAAGGGUUCGACUCCGGAGAAGGGGCCUGAGAAAUGGCCACUACGUCUAAGGAUGGCAGCAGGCGCGCAAAUUACCCACUCUCAGAACGAGGAGGUAGUGACGAGAAAUAACGAGACCGUUCUCUUAAGAGGCCGGUCAUCGGAAUGGGUACAAUUUAAACCCUUUAACGAGUAUCUAUGAGAGGGCAAGUCUGGUGCCAGCAGCCGCGGUAAUUCCAGCU